CUUUUAAUGUUCUAGGUGCAUGCAAAGCAAAGCAAUGAAAUAUUCAGUUAGUUAUCUAUAUGAACUUUAAAACCCAGAUAUCAAGACGACAUUGAAUUGGUAUUGAUUUUUCAUCUGGUCCAUUUUAUGGUCAGGAUUGAAAUGUCAAUUUUGAAACAACAUUUAAAUACUGUGGGUAACCAACAUCCUAACUUUAAUGACGUUGUAAUAAUGUUGAUUUACAGUUGUUUUUUUGUCAUCGAUAUUUGAUCUAUUUAUAGUCGACCAGGUGACAACAACAACAUUGAAAAAACAUCUAUUUAUAGUUGACCAGAUUAAAGCGGCGAUCACUCCGAAGCACCUCUUUCACAUCCUACAGGUCACCAUCGAAAAGCCAUUGAUUUGUAGUUGAGCGUUAAAUUGUAUUGGAACUGAGCGGGUAUAAAGUAUCACAGAAAGUAGAUUGAAUGUUCUUUUGUUAUCAAAGAUUUCUGAUGUAGUUACAGUUUACCAGCUUAAAAAAAUCAUGUCGAAAUGCCAUUUAUGUAUGAUUAAAGCAGCGAUCACUUGGACUAUUCCGUAGCACCCCUCUCACAGUGGUACAUCCCUCCAGGUAACCAUUCAUAAGUCUUGUACAGUAGAGCGGGAAAUUACAUUUCAGCUCAGCGGAUUUGACCGGUGAAGGCGUAGCAUGCACCACGAUUAGUAUAAGAUCAGAUUUGUUAACUACCAUCCAUCCAUAAACAAAUAUACACUGAAAAUGGCAUCACGCUGGUCAAGGAGGCGCAAAUUAAGGUCAAUGGUUGAGGCCGCACAGUCAGAUAUACUCCGGCACUUUGAAGAGAUGGUUGGCGAACUAAAUAUCCAAAGCGACAAUGCACAGGUUGAAGUUAAGCGACCGCGGGUGGCAGAAGAGUCUGGUGUGUCCCACUGUUGUCACCCAGGCAUAGACAGACCAAAUCCCCUGUACACUUAUGCAGACUCUGAGGAUGAGCAGCCUCAAAAAAAACGGUUUCCCCAGGCCCCUCGAGUGAAAAUACCAGCCCCCGCCACUCCGCAGUCUGCCCCCCAGCGGACUGAUAGCAACCAUCAUAAUACCCCGCCCAGCUUCCGGCACCUUUCGCCACUCCGGCACAACACACAAGCCGACACAGCUUUGCGAUCUCCCCAGCAUGUAGAGUCUGAUGUCAAUGCCGUCGCUAGAGAUGAUUCCAGAGUCUCUGUGAGGCCACUAUUACAAGAUGCGACCUUACAUAAGAUUUUAACGAUGGUGUCAGACCUGACCAGAGCAGUUCACGAUCUCCGUGAGGAGGUCAGAGCCAUCCGCCAUCCCUGCAGCAAUGAAUCUGUAGAUGCUGGGGUAUUGCCUCUGGAUUUGCCCUUGCACAACAUGGAGGAGCUAAACAAUGCAGAGGCAGCUCUGCAAUCACCAGAGGCAAAUAAGGCAAUGGUGAGACGCUUUGCGUUGAUUGGAGGGACCACACUGGAGGUGCGAGUCCGCCGUGUAAUGGCUUAUGCCAUUACAAACGAGCUGGCCUCUGAACUCAACUGGGCGGGGAAAAAAACCAAGGACCAGACAAAGCAAAAAAGGGCAUUUAAAGAGACAGUGCUGUGCAAAUGCAUAUUUGAUGGCCUGACGCAGCAGGUAGGGGCGAACUCUAUGUCUGAGUUUGUCUUUGCUCAAGCAGUCCAGAAAUGGCUCAGAUACGCUCCAGAUCGUAUGGGUGGUGCAGGACGCCCAACAUCCAUCCCCAUCCUGGAGUAAAUACCAAAAAGUGACGUGAAACAAAGAAAUGUAAAAAGGAAACUUUGUCGUUUAAUAAAGUAUUUUGCAAAUGAUACAUGUCUAGUGACCUUUUUUUGUUGUUUCUUUUUCUCUGUUGCAUGAGGUCCGAUGCUUUAUGUUUUUGGGAUAUUACUAUUGACAUGAUACAUUGUAAGAUAAUUUUUAACAUAUAAAGGGUGUCCAAUUUGUGGAAGAAGGACAAUUAUCUGUUUCGGUGGUUUAAGUAUUGAUGGAA
ensembl:lncRNA